ensembl:lncRNA
AUGCUGAGGACGCUGGUGGCUGUAAGAGGUGGGGGGUCAGAGCAAGGGGGACACAGGGAGCAUAAGGCCCUUGUGACCAAAGCAGGGGACCGUGAACAUCAGCCCCCGAUGGUCCCGGGACCCAAUGCCAGGUGCGUGAGCCUCAACACAGCAGAGAACAGCACAAAUACGUCGCCCCUCGGACCCUGGAAAUCAGACCACCUCGGCAGAGCUGAAACGGGGAGGGAAAAGGGAGACAGUCCCGCACCGGACCCGGAAGUUGCUUGGAAAGCAAAACUGAGAGAAGGAUGGUCUCCUCCCAUCUGUGAACUCGGCCGAGUCCCGGAAGGAGGCCCGAGUCCCGACAGCACAGCACUCCAGGCCCGGGGCCGACGGCAAAGGACAUCCUCCUCAAGGUAUCCCUGCCAACCAUCAUCUGUAACAUAUUGCCAAUGUGGCAACUGACGAGCGUCGUUCCUCCUCGCCCAAGCCCUUUGAGUCCCGGGGAGAAAUUCCACAGCCCAGUCUGAAGCAAAGGUCCUGAUGAAGUGCACAUUGAUGUCACUGACCCCAGGAAGGCACACACACACACACACACACACACGGGACAGUCACCUCCCCUGCCUGAAGGCUGAUAUGGAAUCCCAGAGAAUUCUUUUGUGGAUUUCUUCAUUUCCUCUGUUUCCUGCCCUCAUAUGGCUUCGAAAUUGAGGAAGUUAAAAAAAAAAAGAGAGAGAGAGAAUUCUUCCUACCAAGUUUGGGACUCGCUUGGUACAAAGACAAUGAGGUUUCUCGCGGUGUUCGACAGCUAACUGUUGACGCCGUGCUGCAAUGCAUCCGUCCGUCACCAUGUCCCAGUGAGGUCAUGGUCGGAAUCCACAUUUUAUGGAUGUAGAAGCUGAACCCCAUCCCAGCUCUACCAAAUAACCACUGAGUGACGGAGCGGAGAUUGGAACUUAGUUCAGCUUGGACUUCAAAGCCCACGCUCUUGGCUACCGCGUGUGGUGUCUGAUCCCCUGGCCCCGCUACCACUUGACCCACGAGUUCUCUGAGUCGCCGAAUUCUGGCAUCCAGAGGUCUAGCAUCACAGGCGCCUUCCUCACUACCAGCAGCAUUCCUGCUCAAGCAGAAACCCCCCUUGCCUCCAAGGAAGCGUGUUUCAGCUCGGCUCAGGAAAAGCCGUGGGCGACAUCUUCCCCGUGUCGAGUCCGAAGUUACCAUUGCUCUACCUAAUGGUGCCAUUUUUGAGCCCUGGGGCCCCACAGAACCAUCUUCUACAAGAUGGCCUUCGAAGUGUCUGAAGACAAUCCCCCCACCCUGGGCUGCACCGGGACAUGGGACGGAGCCCUGGGAAGAGACAGCAGGCCGGCCUGGGAGCUGAAUGUAGACAGAGGACUGACCAUGAGCACGUACGUGGCACCCAUCACCGCUGCUUCCCCACGGAAGGUCCUCCUUGAACCAACAUCCAAACUCUCCAUCUGCUAGGCUUUUCUCAAAUGGAGCUGAAUCGAGAUGGUUCUCUCCCCUCGAGACUAAGGAAUAACUACAGAGACACAGAGUGAGGAAGAAGGGCCCACACGGGGCGAGAAGUUACAGUGCAGGUCCGGUGGGGACGGUCACUGGGUCGGCCCCGUCCUGUCACUGCAUCCAGAGCGUCCCUCGUGGAAACACAGUGGCCGGACCUAACCAGUGAUUUCCAAUCCCCACUCCUAUCCGGCAAGGCUAGGCUCCCCAUCUUGGAGGUGUGCUCAUGGCUUGUUUCUUCCCUCACCUGCUACUUCGUCUUCUGCUGCUGCUGGGCUUUGUGAAAAAGAACUCAAAACAGAGCUGACAAAGGCCAGAGAGUAAAUAUUUCAGGCUUUGGGACCCGUACAGUUUCUGACACAACCCUACUCUUCCUCUGCGGCAAGAAAGCAGCCACAGACUUUUUGGGCCGUCCAGAAUGUAAAUCCUUGAUGACUCAAUCCUGUCUCUGCAUGGUUUCUUCCUCGGAAGCCCCACUCCUCUGCCCAUGGCCACACCAAGCCCAACAUUAACUGCUCGUCACAUCCGUUUACGUCUCGAUUCUGUGCUGUCACUCCUUGGAAGGCUUGGCUUGCACAAGAGGAAUAUUUGACAGUUGUCUUGAGCUUUGACUCGUGACUGCAAAAGGGAAAAUGCCUGAAAAUUAAUUCCCUAGUGGAGGACACAUGAUUAAGGAAAGACGUGGUUUAGGGACAAUAGCAGUUUCAUGGGAAGCUGGGCACUUGGGGAAGCUGCUAUGAACCAGGAGUUGGAACAGGCCAUUAAGCUGGAUCGCCUGAGGACACAGUAGCGCAUCUUUGAGCUACAAACAGGUAUUUUCCAAUCUUACAAGCAUUUCUCAGACUCAGUCUAAGUAACUUUUGGUGUUAUGAUAGAGUUGUCGUAAAAACCAGAGCUACUUUUAAAUAUUAUUUUAAGUUGUUUGCAGCAAGUUGUUUUUCUUGAUCUGGAAGUGGGAGUUUUGAGUUCUGCUAAAUAUUGUUAUUUCUUUCAAAUCCUUUGUUUGUCUUAGGAAAGUCCCAGGGCUCUUGUUCCAGUUUGCGUGUUGGUCUGUUUGUCAAAGUGGCUCGGUUGAACUCAUUUUUUCCCCACUUUUUGUGAUGCUUGGGAAAAGGAAGACCACACAGUUGGGGUCACUAGCCAGCAGGUCAACAAACUCUCCUUCCCCGUUCCAGGCCCAGGAAUGGGUAUAAAUCUCCCGAGCGCUGCGGCACAAAGGUGGGCGAGGGGAGUAGAGUACGUGCGAGGCAAGUCUGACCGCUCAGACGAAAAUCCCAGAGUACUUGUGUCAACCACGUUCUGACCCACAAGUCUGAGGAAGGAAUGAGACGAGCUUCCAAGGUGUCGGCGAAGUGACUGCACGAACCCAUACGUUGGUUCCACUGUAAAUACGCAUCAGGUCACAGAUUAUGGGAAACGUUGAAGGGCUUCCAGACAGAUGUCCGUUUACAACACAUAAUUGGCUCUUAAAAAUGUUUUAUUGAUUAUAUGAUAAAUAUCAAAAAGCAUGAAAGCAAAUAGGCAAUAACAAGUUAAAACGAUCCAUUCCUCAAGCAAUUACACACAGAACGACCAUAUGAUCCAGAAAUUCUGCUUCUAGGUAUAUAUCCAGAAGAAUCGAAACCGGGGACACAAACAGGUAUUCGCACACCCAUGCUCAUAGCAGCAUUAUUCACAAUAGUCCAAAAGUUAAAACAGGGGCGCCUGGGUGGCUGAGUUGGUUGAGCGUCUGACUCUUGAUUUCAGCUCAGGUCAUGACGAGGGUCGUGGGAUCGAACCCUGUGUCAGGCUCUGCACUGAGCACGGAGCCUGCUUGGGACUCUCUCUUUCUCUCUCUGCCCUUCCCCUGCUCAUGCUCUCUCAUGGUCUCUCUCUCGCUCAAGAUAAAUAAAUAAACAUCUUUUUUUUAAGUGAGAACA